rnacentral:rRNA from 1 species
AACGAACGCUGGCGGCAUGCCUAACACAUGCAAGUCGAACGAGACCUUCGGGUCUAGUGGCGCACGGGUGCGUAACGCGUGGGAACCUGCCCUUAGGUUCGGAAUAACUCCCCGAAAGGGGUGCUAAUACCGGAUAAUGUCUUCGGACCAAAGAUUUAUCGCCUUUGGAUGGGCCCGCGUUGGAUUAGCUAGUUGGUAGGGUAAAAGCCUACCAAGGCGACGAUCCAUAGCUGGUCUGAGAGGAUGGUCAGCCACACUGGGACUGAGACACGGCUCAGACUCCUACGGGAGGCAGCAGUGGGGAAUAUUGGACAAUGGGCGAAAGCCUGAUCCAGCAAUGCCGCGUGAGUGAUGAAGGCCUUAGGGUUGUAAAGCUCUUUUACCCGGGAUGAUAAUGACAGUACCGGGAGAAUAAGCUCCGGCUAACUCCGUG